rnacentral:rRNA from 1 species
UAUGAACGCUGGCGGCGUGCCUAAUACAUGCAAGUCGAGCGAACAGACGAGGAGCUUGCUCCUCUGACGUUAGCGGCGGACGGGUGAGUAACACGUGGAUAACCUACCUAUAAGACUGGGAUAACUUCGGGAAACCGGAGCUAAGACCGGAUAAUAUAUUGAACCGCAUGGUUCAAUAGUGAAAGACGGUUUUGCUGUCACUUAUAGAUUGAUCCGCGCCGCAUUAGAUAGUUGGUAAGGUAACGGCUUACCAAGGCAACGAUGCGUAGCCGACCUGAGAGGGUGAUCGGCCACACUGGAACUGAGACACGGUCCAGACUCCUACGGGAGGCAGCAGUAGGGAAUCUUCCGCAAUGGGCGAAAGCCUGACGGAGCAACGCCGCGUGAGUGAUGAAGGUCUUCGGAUCGUAAAACUCUGUUAUUAGGGAAGAACAAAUGUGUAAGUAACUAUGCACGUCUUGACGGUACCUAAUCAGAAAGCCACGGCUAACUACGUG